rnacentral:rRNA from 1 species
AGAGUUUGAUCAUGGCUCAAGACGAACGCUGGCGGCGUGCUUAACACGUGCAAGUCGAGCGAUGAAACACCUUCGGGUGUGAAUUAGCGGCGAACGGGUGAGGAACACGUGAAGAAUCUGCCUUCAACUCUGGGAUAACUCCGGGAAACCGGGGCUAAUACCGGAUAUGAGCCUUGAUCGCAUGAUCGGGGCUGGAAAGUUUUUCGGUUGAAGAUGACUUCGCGGCCUAUCAGCUUGUUGGUGAGGUAAUGGCUCACCAAGGCGACGACGGGUAGCCGGCCUGAGAGGGCGACCGGCCACACUGGGACUGAGACACGGCCCAGACUCCUACGGGAGGCAGCAGUGGGGAAUAUUGGGCAAUGGAGGAAACUCUGACCCAGCGACGCCGCGUGAGGGAUGAAGGCCUUCGGGUUGUAAACCUCUUUCAGUAGGGAAGAAGCGAAAGUGACGGUACCUACAGAAGAAGCACCGGCUAACUAUGUGCCAGCAGCCGCGGUAAUACAUAGGGUGCAAGCGUUGUCCGGAAUUAUUGGGCGUAAAGAGCUCGUAGGUGGUUCGAUACGUCGGAUGUGAAAAUCAGGGGCUCAACCCCUGACCUGCAUCCGAUACGGUCGAGCUGGAGUUUGGUAGGGGAGACUGGAAUUCCUGGUGUAGCGGUGGAAUGCGCAGAUAUCAGGA